GCUGGUCUCGAACUCCUAAGCUUAGACAGUCUGCCCACCUUGGCCUGCCAAAGUGCUGGGAUUACAGGCGUAAGACACUGUGCCCAGCCUGCUGACCCCACAUUUUAAAACAAAUCUUCCCUUCCUUAACUGAUGACAAGUCAGGAAAUCUUUGAAUCGACCUAUGACCUAUAAGCUCCCGCUUUGGGGUAUCCAGCCUUUUGAGGCCAAACCAAUGUGUAACCUCCAUCUAUUGACUUACGCUUUCCUGAAAUUUACCCCCUGCCUUUAAAAACCCUUACUUGCAAGCCCUUGGAGACCCUUCCUUGAAACCCUUUCAAGCCCUGGUCACGUGUGAGCUGAUUCUCCCUGCUCAGCAUCCAGAAACAAAAGCCUCACUUUCUCUCACUGCAGUCCUGGUGUCAGUGUUUGGUUUUAUUGCACCAGGAGAGCAGACCCACGUUAGGUUCAGCAACAAUCACAUUGAGUCUAAAAGAGAGGGAGAUAGGGUUGUAAAGAAGAUAUUGUAGCUUUAAAAAGGGGGUGGGAUUUGGAGAAAGUGAGUAUUUAAGACUCAGUGUUUGAUACCCAUGUAUAGAGCUAAGGCCCUUUGUUAGCAUUUAGGAAGACUAAAUUGAAAAUAUUCAUACAAUUACACAUUUACUAGUAUUAGUAUGUUUGAAUUUUUUUGCUUACACGGAGCCAUGAUCUGUUAAAUUUCAAGACAUCCAGUGUCUUAGUUUUCUCCCCUUAUAAGCAGCAGACUAGAGAAGAAAACAUGCCCACCUGACCAGGGGUAUCAUAGUUACAAAGCCACUGGAUACAAUUUACCUGGCUGGAAUGUCCCCUUCUGGUAAUUACUCUUGGGAGGUGUUACAUCUAAAGGGAACAGUGCUUUCUGGGCCACCUUGGGUUUGCCAAGAACAAGUUGCUAAUCUCACCUUUUUUACUCUUACCUUCCUGAUAAGGUUGCUGUAAUACAGGCAUGGCACAGACACAGCAGAGAAUCUGUCUAAACAUCCGACAUCUUGAGGACCAAAAGAAAUGUGAGCUGGCACAGAUACAGCAUCCAGCUCUGUUGCACAGGCUGGAAUGAAGUGGCGCAAUCAUAGCUUGCCUUGACCUCGUGGACUCAAGUGAUCCUCCUGCUGCAGCCUCCCAAAGUGUUGGGAUUACAGGCAUGAGCCACUCACUUCACCUGGCCAGUUGAUUUAUUUUUUAAACCACCUCACAUAGCAGGGUAACCUCUGAGUUCCUGUUCCAUCUUGCGGCCUGGGAUUAGGUACAGCUAAAACUGCCAAGUUGCGGACAGCUAUUUUUUCCAGAGCUCAAGUGGUUGGAGAACAUGGGCGCCCCCUCCCUGCAGCUCAGCAGAACCUAGAAUGAACCACAGUUGCUCUUCUGCCAGUUCAAAAGUUAGGGCCUGUUCUAUCUUGCAUUCCUCCUCUACUCCACAGGGCGUAUGAGUUCUGCCCAAAUCACGUGGGUUGUGGUGGGUGGGGGUGUGUGCUGAGCGUGAUUCCCUGAAGAAAAUUCAGAUGCUGUCACCAGGCAAAACCAACAGAUGUCCACUACAGCUACCACCGUGGAACAGAAUAAUUCACCCAUUAAGCACCUGGCUUAGGACUCCAGUUCCCAAGGAUGGAAUCUCAACUCCACCAUUUACAAGUUGUGUGACCAUGGCUGGGUCACUUCACCAGUCAGCCUGAGUCUCAGUGUCCCAUCUGCACAAAGGGAGUGAUGGCCCACAUCGCCAGCUUGAAUCACCGUGAAAGCACCUUGCAAAGAGUCCAAGCAGGCUCAGGCUCAGGCAGGUGGCGCUGCAGUUUGGUGUGGCAUGAACUAUAUCUCUGGCAUGUUGUCCAGCCAGUUCCAGGGCAGCUGUCUGUGGAGAGCAGCCGGAUGUAGCACAAAGAGCCAGGCUGUCCUGGGUUCAAAGCCUGAACCUCCCACCUUAGGAGCUACACGUUCCUCCUCCAUGAUGAUCACCUUUCCUGCCUCCCAGGGUUGUUGGAAGUGUCAAGGGGACAUGUAGACAGCCUGGUACACUGUGUUCUGUGAGUGGUGAUAGCUGUGUUCAUAGUACAGUUGUUACUCCACAGCAUGCCAGGAGUCCAGAUGUGAAUGGAACAGGACAGACCCCGUACUCUGUGAACAAAAGCCCAUCUUUCUGGGUAAAGGGUGCAUUUGGCCAGCAGCCAAGGGCCCUGGGAAGUCUUUGUGCAGCCCGGCCCUUCCCUCCUUCAGUUCAGCGUGGGGUGGGUACAGCCUCACGGAGGUUCAUGUUUCACUAUUAAUUAUCCCCCAGGCUCUUUUAUCAGCCUGUCUCUCAUUCCCACCACAAGGCUGUCAGCCAGACAGUUGGAACAGAAUCUCAUCUGGAGUGUGUUUGCUCUUCUCCCCCAUCGCUGGCAGAGAUCUGGGAUCAGCUCUGCAUUAGGGCAAGUUGUAAGUAAACACACAUUUGCUCAAAUGUGGCCCUUCUAGUAGAGACUCAAUUUUCUGUAUUCCCCUUCCUUUAGUACGAAUGACUUGGAGGUUGUGGUAGGCAGACCAUGGCUCCGACAGUGUUUAUUAAUGGUUAUAUUGGACUCAGUGAAGGUUUCUGUCCUUACUUGGUAUUGAGUUACUACUUUUAAGAGACCCGUCUAGUAAUGCUAUUGUCAUGUUACUCAUUUUAUAAAUCCUAUCUAUAAUGUUAUUGUCACAGAAAUGACAGAAAUGUUAUGGAAGAAUCUCAAAAUACUGCUAAAUGUGUUAGUCAAAAAAUGUCUUUGCCCCUAAAAUGUGUAAAGUUAUUGUACAUUGUAUAACUAUUAUCACAGAGUAUUAUGUUGAAUAUACUAUUUCAGACCCUAUUCUUGCUACUUAGUGAGAGAAAAUGCCUUUUCCAUAAAAGAUUUAAGAAAGAAUGCUCUAGAUGGGAACACUUUAGGUUUUAAGUAUUCCCACACAUUUUAUAAUGAAGUAGAUAACUGGAACUAUAAUUAGGUGUUUCCAAAAAUUGAUACUAAUUUCUAAAAAAAAAAAAAAAAAGUUACAAUUUAAAAGCUGUUUUGUUUUCCUUCUUCCUAAUUCUGGAAAGUUAUGAAUUAAAGAAACUAAAUUUGGAAA